rnacentral:rRNA from 1 species
CCUACGUGAGGCAGCAGUGGGGAAUAUUGCACAAUGGGGGAAACCCUGAUGCAGCGACGCCGCGUGAGUGAAGAAGUAUUUCGGUAUGUAAAGCUCUAUCAGCAGGGAAGAAACCCACCCUCCGGGGUGGCUGACGGUACCUGACUAAGAAGCCCCGGCUAAAUACGUGCCAGCAGCCGCGGUAAUACGUAGGGGGCAAGCGUUAUCCGGAUUUAAUGGGUGGAAAGGGGGCGUAGGUGGCAAGGCAAGUCAGAUGUGAAAACCCGGGGGCCAACCCCGGGAGGGCAUACGAAACUGGCUGGCUAGAGUGCAGGAGAGGUAAGUGGAAUUCCCAGUGUAGCGGUGAAAUGCGUAGAUAUUAGGAGGAACACCAGCGGCGAAGGCGGCUUACUGGACUGUAACUGACACUGAGGCUCGAAAGCGUGGGGAGCAAACAGGAUUAGAUACCCGGGUAGUC